rnacentral:rRNA from 1 species
GAAGUAAAAGUCGUAACAAGGUUUCCGUAGGUGAACCUGCGGAAGGAUCAUUACUGAACCGUCGACAUGAGUUGUUGCUGGUCCCCAAAAGGGGGCAUGUGCACAUUCUGUCUACACAUCCACUCACACCUGUGCACUCUCUGUAGCUCUAUGGCCUUGGGGACUCUGUCCCCUUGCUGUGGUCCUACAUCUUUACACACACACCGUAUUACAGUCUCAUGGAAUGCAUGUCGCGUUUAACGCAAUACAAUACAACUUUCAGCAACGGAUCUCUUGGCUCUCGCAUCGAUGAAGAACGCAGCGAAAUGCGAUAAGUAAUGUGAAUUGCAGAAUUCAGUGAAUCAUCGAAUCUUUGAACGCACCUUGCGCCCUUUGGCCAUUCCGAAGGGCAUGCCUGUUUGAGUAUCAUGAACACCUCAACUCUCAUGGUCCGCCAUGAUGAGCUUGGACUUUGGGGGUCUUGCCGGCCUAACCGUUGGCUCCUCUCAAAUGAAUCAGCUUGCCAGUGUUUGGUGGCAUCACGGGUGUGAUAAAUAUCUACGCCUGCGCUCUUCCACCAGGUAACCUUCAGUGAUGGAGGUUCGCUGGAGCUCACAGACGUCCUCUUCCCAUGGAGGACAGCUUUUGAACGUU